UUGAAUAUAUAAUCUUAUUUUUUUUUUGUUUCUUAUUUUUUUAUUGGAAGUAUAUAUUUUUUUAUUAGGUUUAUUUGAAAAAAUUUAUUUUAUAAUAGUUUAAAGUAUUGUGAGAGAAAGAUUUUAUAUUUUGAAAAGUGGAUUUUAUUUUUCGUACCUUGUGUAUCAGGGUUGAUUUAAUUAAAAAUAAAAAUUUAAUUUUCCCGAAUCUUUAAGAGUUAAAAGUUUGUGAUUUUUACUGUGUCAUAAGUAUUUAAAACGAGUUUUUGGAAAUGAAAUGUUAUUCGUUUAAAGAUAUAUCUGGUUUUUUAAGAAAUGAAUUUAAUUCAGGAAAUAAAAAUUUGAGUGUAAUUUUUUACUUUUACUUUUUUAUUUUCUAAUAAUUAGGGGGAUAAGCUCUUAAUUAAAUUUUUAAAAACUUUUUUUUGUUAUUUUACAUAGGAUUAGAAUUUUCCAUUGUUUUUAGUGUGUUAUAAUUAGAAAUUUUGUUUAUUAGAUUUAAAUUGGUUUUAAUUUUUUAUUAAUUAAAUGAUUUUAAUUUUGUUUGUUUUGAUAUAAUGAUUAAAUUAGUAUAAUUUUUUGUAGUUUUAAUUUGAAUUUUUUAGUUAGUUAAAAGGAAUUCGGCAAAAUUUAAUUUUUACCUGUUUAUUAAAAACAUGUCCUUUUGAUUAUAAUUUAAGGUCGGGCCUGCCCAAUGAUUAAUUUGAAUGGCCGCAGUAUAUUGACUGUGCAAAGGUAGCAUAAUCAUUAGUUUCUUAAUUAGAAGCUUGUAUGAAAGGUUUGAUAAAAAAUUAACUGUCUCUUAAUUAAUUUUUAGAAUUUAAUUUUUAAGUCAAAAGGCUUAAAUUUUUUAGAAAGACGAGAAGACCCUAUAGAGUUUAAUAAUUUUUUUGAUUUUUUUUGUUGUUUAUUUUUAUAUUAAUAAAAUUAUUUUGUUGGGGUGAUGGAGAAAUUGAUUUAACUUUUUUUUUAUUUUUACACUAAUUGGUGAGUUUUUGAUCCUUUAUUUUAAGAUUAAAAGAUAAAAUUACCUUAGGGAUAACAGCGUGAUUUUUUUUGAAAGUUCUUAUUGAUAAAAAAGUUUGCGACCUCGAUGUUGGAUUAAAAUUAAUUUUUGGUGUAGCAGCUAAAAAAUUGGGUCUGUUCGACCUUUAAAAUUUUACAUGAUCUGAGUUUAGACCGGUGUGAGCCAGGUUGGUUUCUAUCUUUUAUAAUUUAGAGUGGUUUAGUACGAAAGGACCAAUCAUUUGAAUAAUAUUUUGUUUUUUGAAUGUUAUUA
rnacentral:rRNA from 1 species